AUUCUACGUAUUUACGUAUUACACAUUAGGUGCACUUGAUGCGAUGUUACUAUCAUUCUUAAGCCGAUUAAUAAAUAAGAAGAGCACACCAAUUAGGUAUACUGUCGGAUUUUAAAAUUCGGGGGAAAAUAUGAAAACAACAUAUGAGACCGUUUCCUCUCUGACAGUUCUUUGUGUUUUUGUUUUACCAAAUGAUGUGUGUGCAGAAAAUGGUUUAUUUGAAAACAUUAACAUGAAGUCAGCGAAUAAGGACAUUAAACCGAAACCUAAUUACAGAAAAGAGACAAUUGCACUCGAUAAUAUUAACAACAAAAGGGAUUAUCGUUACAGAGAGGUAGAACUUGGCCGUACACGAAUAAAACCGGCUUCAUUUGGCAAACUCGAUAACGCACAAAACAAUAGAGACAUUCUUGAUAACAUUCAAGACAUAAAUGCUGGAAAAGAAUUAAAACUUCUUGAAGCGAUCAAUGAUCGUGCUUAUCCAAUCAAGAAUGAUUAUGAACAGUUACGUGAUAUCAAAGAUCUGUCAGACACUAAUACCAUUACGGAUGAAACGCUUUAACUACAUCGUGGGAUAAGGAGAAUGAUAUCAAAGUUAUUAUGUACGUAGAAACUAGAAACGGUAGUCAUGGCAUGACAGGUGGUUCAGAUGUUGAGGAACUUGUUUUUAAUAACACAACAUUACCGCCGAUGAUAUGUUGGGAGAUGAUCUGCUCAGAUUGUGUUGCACAAGAGUCCGAAAUUCGUUGUAUAGUUCGCAGUUUCCUCACAGUCAUGGUGCGCUUUGCUAUUUUCGGCAUUGUCAUCCUCUUGUUGUUUGCAUGUGUCUAUAUUUCAACCAAGAAAAAGAAAUGUAAAAAUGCAGGCAUAAAACGCACGGGGAAAGAAGUUGUUGAUAUAGAUGACAAAACAACCCUAAUAGACCCAGCAUAGACCUCAAUUAAAUCACACAGAUUCACAUUAAAGGGACUCCACUGAAAAUAGACAAAAAAUAAAUUUAAAGACCAAUAAGUAGUAUGUUAAUUUUAAGAUUAUUGGCUCACUCGAGUAUAUUUUAUAAUUAUAUUUUGCAUACCUUUCUUUGUUAAGUGCCCUUGCUGAUUUAUGGGGAAAAUAGCUUUGUAUAGCCUUAUAAACCUCAGUGGAGUUCCUUUCAGAAUGGUGAUACUUAAAGAAUAUACUUAGUUUAAGGUUAAAUAUUUUAAGGGUGUUUUGGUUUUGGCAAACGACUGAGAUAAGGAAGACAUUCGUCUUAUUAAAUGAAACGUGUAAUGGAAUUAGUGCAAUAAUGGAAAGUAAGAACAAAACAAAUGAGUAUCAGUGUCUUCUUUUAUCACUAUUUAAGGUGAUGCAUGAAACUGCUUAAUAAUAUAUUAUACUGUUAUUAUUAUUUUAUUCUCUCAAUUUGAACAUGCGUACAGUAUACAAACAGACACUCGUAUAAUAAAAAAAUACAAUCUAUACAGUCAGAUUUAUAUGAAACAUUUAUGUUUCUAUAUAAAACAUGUAUGUAAACACAUAAUUGCUGAGCACAUAAAUUGAUUUAUGUUAUACUCCGGUUUUUUACAAAUGUUCGAAUGAAAAAUCAUGUUCUUUUUAACACGAAACUCAUGGUGUUUUUUGUUUGUUUAAAUACAAACAGUUUGAUACAUUUUUCAAUAUAGUGGAGUAUUAUCAUUUUUGAAAUCAUGGACAUUUUCAGGGCUAACAAUUACGAUAUAUAAUGAGUUCAUACGUGUGUGCAUACGUGUGUGGAUGAGUGCGAGUGUAAACAUUACACAUAAAACAGUUUGAUAAAAUUUAAUGUUCAUUGUUUAUGUGAAAAAAAAAUUAUGUCUUGCUUGUUAAUUGACAUGCAGCCAUCAUUUAAAAGAGUUUAGAAGCUGUACUUAAACAUGAUACUUACAUGUCUGUGUUAUUAUGCUCUAUUAUAUAAAUUAUUAACAUUUCAUUGAAGACUAAAAUGCAUAAUGAAAUGAAAAGCAGAUAAAAGUUAGAUUUCUAUUUCUUUGGAAAUGACUUCAUUUAAACUAAAACGACCGUGUUAAAUAAACGAAAAUACAGUUAUCUUUCUUCACAGUUCAAAAAGGUAAGCUACAUUAAGACCUAUUGAAAUUCCUACUUUUCUUUUAUUACUAAUUACAUGUCACGUAUACUUUAAUACCAGAGUACAUGUAUAUCAUAUUUCUAAAAUUGUCAGUUUUACUCAUGAUUUAUUUCAAUCCGUAAAUAAAGUAAUUUAAAAUGUGUGUUAAUUGAUUUAAGGUUCACAUUUAAAAAAAACAAGUCGAUAUUUUUCAUUUAACCAAUAUAGAGGUAGUCCUAAAUAUUUGAUUUCUUUGUCUAAAUUUAGUAUUCUUGUUAUUGUUAUUAUUAUUAUUCCAGAUUAACUUCCUGGUUUAAAUAACUGAUGCAAUUCUUAAAUUCGAAAACGCUGAAGAUUUACCUAUUUUAACCACCCUUAGUUGUAUAUAAGAACUGAAUUUUGUCCUUCCUAUACAUUUAGUUUUUAAGCGUUAAUACGACUUAAGGCGGUGCUGGGGAUCAUGAAAGAUGUAAUGAAUUCUAUUUUCAUUCAAACCGAGUCAGUAAUUCCCACAUAAACAAUAUAUGUGCUCGGUGCUCUCGGGGACACGCCCCUAAACAGAAUGACGGAGUGAGAAAUCCACACUUUACGCAAUUCACUAUUCGAUCAUGUUGAAUUCUUUAAGAUAUCCAAUUCUUUAGGUCUUUCAAUAAAUAUAAAACCUUAGGAUUUGCUUAUCGUUACCUAAUCACAUUUAUUUUUAACAUUUCAAUGAUAAUUUACUUUUUUAAUUUUCACGUCAUUGGCAAUGUGAUCUUCUUUUGGCGUUAAGGGUUGUUUUCUCAUGCAGGCGUUCCAAUUGUAGUAUACCAACAAUUUAUAGUGUGUUGAUACCUGGACUAUUUGUAAUUAAUGUUCCACUUACACAGCAGUCUGAUAAGGCUAUACAGCACGGAUCGAACAGCUUGAGACCUGAGACACCUGCAGCACAAAACAUCUAUGUUUUCUUACUGGCCAACAUGUUAGCCAGACUGCAAGUCAAUAGAACACGCGAAAGAAUAAUCUGCUAACUGUGCCCUACACGGACGGAUAGACCCUCAUUAAACAUUAACGACAAACACACAAAAUUUCCCACCAGUUAUAAAGAACAGCGCAUCGGGUAUUUUUUUAUUUCAUUCGGGCUAUAUUCUCCCUUAAAUAACGGCACCCGCCACAUCUUAUGUAACUAAUACUAAUCGUAGUAUAAAUUUGCUUUAUGUUUGUCAUCUUCACAUGUUACAUAUAUAUAAUAAAUAUCGACUU